GAAGCUUCGUGCAGAACUUUACUAAUUUUCAAGAUUCAAUGGCUAUCACGCGGUAUAAUCAACACCCAGAUAGCCAGUGAAUGAAGAUGGCAAACCAUUCGUUGACCAACUUGUUCAGGACCAAGCUCAUCUGCACAAACAUAUGUAAGACCUUAGUAAAAUUCUGCAUGAAGCUUUGAUUGAUUCAACUUGUAGUAUGUCAACCGAUUUUGUUCAGUAGCGGCCCAAGCAUCUACUACAAAUUCCUAAAAUAGUUUUCCAGCUCUCAAAAUUGCCGAAUACUCAGUGUCACGUUGGAACAUACGAUAACUGUAAUAUUGCAAUUGUGUCAGUCGAGUAGAUGAAGGUCCACCUUGGGAAGCGUUCCAAUGUUUCAAAUCUGGAUUCCAUCCUAGCUCACCAUAAAGGAACAAUAACACAAUGCAAUGGCAAAUAGGCUGGAUGAAACUCAUUAAUUUGCAUCAAACCAUUAUCUCAUCUCAAAUGUAACACAAUAUCUCUCAUUCCACUUGAUUCAGUUACAUCUCCCGAUAAUAUUAUUGCAAUCUCAUCGAUUGUUAGGAGAUUGUAUCGACGUCGGUCUGUUACAGAACUAUAGUGAAGAUAGGCCGGUAAAUUCACCCCCAUCAAUUCCAAUUCACUUAAAAUUGUGAGCCUGUCGAAAUUUCAUAGGAAAUGGAUUUAUUUGCAAUAAACAAUCUUGUAUAGUUUUCAAAACAUCUCUUCUCAAGUUAGGAUUUUUGUUGCUGCGAACAUCUAAAGCU
rnacentral:lncRNA from 1 species